AGCCAAGAAAAUGGCGAGGCGGCGCAGACGGCCUCCUCCAUCCCACGCGGCCCUCUCUGGCGAGGUGAGCCCAGGAAUGGGGCGAAGAAGGCGGCCACGAGCACGCUUCUCCGCAGCCAGUCCUCUCCCCCCCAUCAUCUCCCGUUUCUGAUGCGGCGCCACCAUAGUCGUUGCCUACAACGAUUUUCGUCUGUGCACCACCACCUGAUCGAGGAGGAGUUUGUUCCACACGAGAUCCGGCGAGGAAGGGUGAGAUACUGCAGCGCCAAAUCACUCCCCCGAUCCAGGCCGACCUCUGUCCCACAAGAUCCGACGAGGAAUCGAUGGCCGAUCGCGUGUGCCAGGGAAGCUUUACCUUCCACGACAAAGAAGAGGCCGGCCAUGGCGUGGUCCAUCCUCCCCUGCCCCAACAAGGAUCCAUAGCACUCCCCCCAACUUCCUUCCGCACAAAAUUUGGAUAGGAAGUGCUGGCCUCCGGCCUCCGGCCUCCGGCAAGGAAGCUGCCACCUUCCAUGGCAAAAAAUUACAAUUCCUGCGCAUCCUCCUUGCAUCCUCGCCUUCCUAUCCCGAAAUACCGACCAAGCCUUUCCCUAAACCCAAUCCCAUGGCACUAUUGCAUCUUGGUUUUCGAAUGCUAUUACAUCAUGAAAAGAAGGGAACUGACUAUUGGUUUAAAAUAAUUGGGGGGCAUAGAGAUGUGAGAGAUUGCGGGGUUCGGCUGUGGAAUAUUAUACAGAGAGAUGGAGGGGUUCGGUUGGGUAUUUAUACUGUAUCAUGUUGCUGUGUGUUCCAUUCUUUAUUCUUUGCGCUUCUUGGGGCAAUUUUGGUGUACAUGGAGCUAUGAUUUACAUCAACUAUAUAGUUAUGUGUGAUGUUCUUUCAUGCUUUUGGUGCUCCUGUCGAAGAGAUAUUAUUUUUAGCUAUUUUUAUUGAUUAUUGCUACUGAUGUUGAUUGCAUUUAUUUUUGCUAACAUAUGCAGAUUGUCGUGAUUGUAUGACAGAUUAAUACCAUUGUCUUGUGUGUGCUAGGUUUAAACGGAUGGGUGAUGCUUGGUGUAUUCUUUUGUGUCAAUCUGAACAAACAUGGAGGGACGAGCAGGCUUCAGUUCAUUGUGACUCCAUGAACGGAGUUCAACCACUCUGAAAAAGGUCAUGCUCUGUAGUAAGUUCAUUUAUGGUUGUCUGUGUUUCUAUUGAUGUAUUUGAAAUGUCUAUUAAUUGCAUAUUCAGUUGUUCGAAAAAGGGGUGGCAUUUGUGCCAUGUUAAUCAACUAGGGAAAGUAACACUUGAUCACAAGGGUAAUAAAGUUAGUAGGUGCACGUAAAGUUAUGUAGCUUCAUCAAACAAAUGUGAGCUUAGUUGUUGGUCAAUUAUGUAGCUGCUCUCCAGUGACCUUUUCAAUUCAACAUGUCAUCAGUCAAAUACACAAGGAGGACACUGAACAAAUCGGAAAGGAAGUACCAAGUUGUUAAAUCUGAUUUGAUGCUUUCAUUUCAUGGAACCCUAUAGCUUGUGAAAUAUUCAUGUGUUCUAUCUUGUUUGUUAACCUGAUGCAGCUGUCCGCCAGCAGGGCAGCGCACGCAGAAUCUGCUCGGAUGGCGCGAUGGCGGUCGUGAGUGAAGUGCACGGUGGCCUCCGG
rnacentral:lncRNA from 1 species